UACGAAGGGGGCUAGCGUUGCUCGGAAUUACUGGGCGUAAAGGGCGCGUAGGCGGCACUGUUAGUCAGGCGUGAAAUUCCUGGGCUCAACCUGGGGACUGCGCUUGAUACGGCAGAGCUAGAGGAUGGAAGAGGCUCGCGGAAUUCCCAGUGUAGAGGUGAAAUUCGUAGAUAUUGGGAAGAACACCGGUGGCGAAGGCGGCGAGCUGGUCCAUUACUGACGCUGAGGCGCGACAGCGUGGGGAG
rnacentral:rRNA from 1 species